AUUGAACGCUGGCGGCAGGCCUAACACAUGCAAGUCGAGCGGAUGAAGAGAGCUUGCUCUAUGAUUCAGCGGCGGACGGGUGAGUAAUGCCUAGGAAUCUGCCUGGUAGUGGGGGACAACGUUUCGAAAGGAACGCUAAUACCGCAUACGUCCUACGGGAGAAAGUGGGGGAUCUUCGGACCUCACGCUAUCAGAUGAGCCUAGGUACGAUUAGCUAGUUGGUGAGGUAAAGGCUCACCAAGGCGACGGUCGUUAACUGGUCUGAGAGGAUGAUCAGUCACACUGGAACUGAGACACGGUACAGACUCCUACGGGAUGCAGCAGUGGAGAAUAUUGGACAAUGGGCGAAAGCCUGAUCCAGCCAUGCCGCGUGUGUGAAGAAGGUCUUCGGAUUGUAAAGCACUUUAAGUUGGGAGGAAGGGCAGUAAGUUAAUACCUUGCUGUUUUGACGUUACCGACAGAAUAAGCACCGGCUAACUUCGUGCCAGCCGCCGCAGUAAAAC
rnacentral:rRNA from 1 species